rnacentral:rRNA from 1 species
GACGAACGCUGGCGGCGCGCCUAACACAUGCAAGUCGAACGAGCGAGAGAGAGCUUGCUUUCUCGAGCGAGUGGCGAACGGGUGAGUAACGCGUGAGGAACCUGCCUCAAAGAGGGGGACAACAGUUGGAAACGACUGCUAAUACCGCAUAAUAUAUAUGGACCGCAUGAUCUGUAUAUCAAAGAUUUAUCGCUGAAAGAUGGACUCGCGUCUGAUUAGCUAGUUGGUGAGGUAACGGCCCACCAAGGCGACGAUCAGUAGCCGGACUGAGAGGUUGAACGGCCACAUUGGGACUGAGAUACGGCCCAGACUCCUACGGGAGGCAGCAGUGGGGAAUAUUGCACAAUGGGGGGAAACCCUGAUGCAGCGACGCCGCGUGGAGGAAGAAGGUCUUCGGAUUGUAAACUCCUGUUGUUGAGGAAGAUAAUGACGGUACUCAACAAGGAAGUGACGGCUAACUACGUGCCAGCAGCCGCGGU